GAUGAACGCUGGCGGCGUGCCUAAUACAUGCAAGUCGAGCGAACAGACGAGGAGCUUGCUCCUCUGACGUUAGCGGCGGACGGGUGAGUAACACGUGGAUAACCUACCUAUAAGACUGGGAUAACUUCGGGAAACCGGAGCUAAUACCGGAUAAUAUAUUGAACCGCAUGGUUCAAUAGUGAAAGACGGUUUUGCUGUCACUUAUAGAUGGAUCCGCGCCGCAUUAGCUAGUUGGUAAGGUAACGGCUUACCAAGGCAACGAUGCGUAGCCGACCUGAGAGGGUGAUCGGCCACACUGGAACUGAGACAAGGUCCAGACUCCUACGGGAGGCAGCAGUAGGGAAUCUUCCGCAAUGGGCGAAAGCCUGACGGAGCAACGCCGCGUGAGUGAUGAAGGUCUUCGGAUCGUAAAACUCUGUUAUUAGGGAAGAAAAAAUGUGUAAGUAACUAUGCACGUCUUGACGGUACCUAAUCAGAAAGCCACGGCUAACUACGUG
rnacentral:rRNA from 1 species